rnacentral:rRNA from 1 species
AUUGAACGCUGGCGGCAUGCUUUACACAUGCAAGCCGAACGGCAGCGCGCGCCUCGGCCUGGCGGCGAGUGGCGCACGGGUGUGUAAUACAUCGGAACGUGCCCAGUUGGGGGGUAUCGCCCGGCGAAAGCCGGAUUAAUACCGCACACGACCUGAGGGAGAAAGCGGGGGAGUAUCGGACCUCGCGCUUUUGGAGCGCCCGAUGGCAGAUUAGCUAGUUGGUGGGGUAAAGGCCUACCAAGGCGACGAUCUGUAGCUGGUCUGAGAGGACGACCAGCCACACUGGGACUGAGACACGGCCCAGACUCCUACGGGAGGCAGCAGUGGGGAAUUUUGGACAAUGGGCGAAAGCCUGAUCCAGCAAUGCCGCGUGUAUGAAGAAGGCCUUCGGGUUGUAAACCACUUUUGUAGGGAACGAAAAGGACUGGGCCAAUACCGCGGGUCGAUGACGGUACCCGAAGAAUAAGCACCGGCUAACUACGUG